UGUUAUUUACAAACGACAGUGCAUUCAGCAGCCCAGUGCCGUGAGCCCUGACAGAUGCCGUAUUUCUGAGUGCUUCCAUGUGAAUGCUGCCCUCCUGUAGCAUGUGUCCAAGUGGACAUAGCCACUAACCAACUAGUUACCUUUGGACUGCAACAAAAAAUGUGAAAAUGAAGAUUUAUUUCUUUUAAUUUACUUAAAAAGAAACCUCUGUGCUAGCAAUAAAGCAUUUAUAUUGUGU
rnacentral:lncRNA from 1 species